GACUACCAACAAAUACUGAAUAUUAACACUUUGAAACAGUGGUAGUUAAAUAUAAAACCAGUGUUUCCCCAGUUACAUUGCUUGUGUUCAUUAGAGAGACAGUGAGACUACCAAGAAAUACUUGAUGUCCAUCUAUCUUUCUUUGACUACCUUUUUUACUUACUAGAGAAGAUAAUGAUACUGUUAGGAGAUACAAAAUUGGGGCAGGAGUUGGAACCUGACAUUUUUCUGCUGUGCAUAUGAUAGCUGCAAAAUUUGUUAGCUUUUUUUUUUUUUUUGAUGUGUACCUCUUGCUUAGUACUUUUAUUUCCAUAAUUACUGUUUUCCCAUAUUAAUAUUUUAUAAGAUAUAUUUGUCUGCAUGUGUAUUUUUAUAAUUCUCCAACUUUUAAGAUCCUUUAGGUGGUUACUAAUGUGAAGCAUCAAGGAAGGCUGACCAUUUUAUUGGAGCCUCUCUGUAUAAGCAUUCAUCCAUUCUCUUGGAUCACACAGACUUUUUUGGUUCUGUCUAUUGCUAGGACCUAAAGGAUUUUGUCCCAUGUACUACCAAAUCCAGGGAACAUAACAGAUAUGUUAUAGAGACUUACUGUUUUAGAUGGAGGAAUCCUGGUAACUAGCAGUUGGAUGCAUAAUAGUAUGUGCUUAAUAAAUGUUUGAGUUGACCUGAUUCUUAACAGUCAGUCUGAUUUUCUGAUAGAGUGAAUAGCAGCAUUAAUAGGCAUAGGGGCAUCUGGGUGGCUCAGUUGUUGGGUGUCUGCCUUUGGUUUAGGGCAUGAUCCU